GUGUGGACAGCCUACACCAAGGGAAGAGUCAGGGGAGAAGGAACACAAGACUCCGGAAGCAUGCCAGCGUAUAAAACCACACUUUGCCUCAUUGGUUCGUGCCUCAGCUUCCAAUCUGGACAUGGAGCACAAUAACAGUGGGCCCACUGCUCUCCGAAUUCCUGCGCGCACUUGAAGGGCCAGAAAAGCAAAUUAAACUGGAAUGUUAUGGAGACCACUAUCCCUGCCUCCUUUCCUUUUUUAAAGGUGGCACUAAUUUCUGUAAUUCUUUCCAAGAUGUGGCUUUCCUUCUGAUAUACCAUCAUGGCUGGAAGAGAAGAUAUGGGUGAGCUUAGAGGCUUCCACUUGGCCAUUUUUACCAUAAUAGCUCUAUUCAACAGGUCAAGAGAGAAAUCUGAGGACUUUUCCAGUUUUUAAUUAUAACCAUCCCAAUUAUGCACUCAGGGGCCUAACCAUCACUGGUAGGUUUAUGUAGCCCAUGUGAAGUAGACUUGGACUGGGACUCCAUAUAUCUCCUGGCUUUCAUAAGCUUCUGCUCUAACUUGGGGACUAUGCUGGCAUUUCAGGCCCCCUGGCAGAAUUAUCAGCUAAGACUGUGUGUCUAAUAGCCCUCAAAAAUCUGGGUAUUUCCGUUUUCCCUAGUGUAUCUGGGAAAAGGCUGC
rnacentral:lncRNA from 1 species